rnacentral:lncRNA from 1 species
UAUGAUUUGCUACCUAUUUUACAUUUUCUCUUUCAUUUUAUUUUAUUAAUCAUUACUAAUUCAUGCUUAAUCUUUUUUGUUUUCUUUUUUAUGAUCACUUGAGGUUAAUUCAACCGUCUUUGAUCCAAAACUGUUGAUAGAUGAUCAUGAAUCAUCUUCAAUACUUUGCUUCAGUGAUAGGUUAAACCUCGAUUUUUGAUAUUUUGAGUCAUUUGGUUUGUGGAUAGAAUGAUCCCUCUGUGAUUGUCUUGAUUCUUCUUUUCACUCUUUCAAUCUUCAUCUCCUCUCUUAUUUUUAAUCAUUGUGUUACAUGUGUUAGGAGAUUAAAUUUGUGAUAAUUCUCUAGUAUGUCUGACGCAUACAUUAUUAUUGACUGACCUGAAAUAGAUAUAACUUCUACGUAAGCAUACUUACGAUUUCCUAACAUAACGCUAAAUUGACCCGACACAAUUAAUUGACCAUUAAAUCCUAACAUUACUUCUCUGUCUUUACAUUAUUUCCAUUUAAUUCUUGUCAUUUAAUUCAAGUCAUUUAGUUUAUGUGAUUUAAUUUUAUGUCAUAUACUUAAUGCAAUUUAAUUCCAGGUCCAUUAAUCAUCAUUUCAUUUCAUACUCUACUAAUCUCGCCUUAUUCAUUUGUUGCUACAUAUCUUGUUUGACUGCUCUACUUGUUAAUCUUAAUGAAUCAAAACUUCAUAAAGUAACUUAGACCUAAUCUUAACCCUAUGCUUGACUUGGAGUGUUGAAAACCUCUUUUGGACUUUAGACUUUAACUUAGGAUUUAGGCCCUUUUCUUAACUCAUAGUAACCUUCGGCCCAUGGACCUUGUAUACAUUUUAACUCGGUUUUGUUUCUGUUAAGACUCUAAGCUUGUGUUUUGGGACCACUUAUCAUGCACGGAAAAUUGUUUCCCAUAACCCAACACAUCGGACCAUGACAUGAAACGACUUAUAAAGCUCUAAAAUCACGAGUUUCACACCAAAUUUUCACACGGAUCUGAAAUUAGCCAAGUUGAUUUACACGAAUUUAGAUCUAUUUCACACGUAUUUGAAAACCAACGAAUUCCCUAUAUAUAGAGGAAACUUUUUGCCUUCAUUUUCAAGCUUUGAAAUUCAAAGAAACUCUGAAACCAUUGAUGCCCGAUACCUCAAAUAACCAGUCAUUCUCUUUUUUGAUUUAAGUUGUUUUGCUUCUGUUUCUUUGCCCAUAAUCCUUCAUCGACACCCUCUAAAGCUAACUGAAGAACUACUUUGGCUUGAAGCUUUGUGGAACCUUGCAUCCAGAUCCGCCGUUGUUGACUUUUGAUGCUCCAAUCGAAAAGGUAGAUACGAGUUACAACUUCAAGCAAACAAGUUACGACACUCUUCGCCUUGCUCCACUGAUCAAAAGCCCUCACUUACUUAGAAUUUAUUUCCAGUAUUCAUCAUUUAAUUUUACUUUGAAGAACUAGGGUUCUUCGAGUUCCUGAGCAAAUUCUCUCUACUCAAAGCAAAUCAAUUAUUCUGAUGCAGGGAGACAUGAACGAUGAGAUAUUUUACAACUGAAUCCAUGCUUGAUUCGUGUUAAAAACAAGAGUUCAUGAAGUUACAAAAUCAAAAUCUGGAGGUUGAAGAUGAAGUUGUUUCGCGCGCUUCCAUGCAAAAUACAAAUCUCCUGGCCAAUCAGGACGCGCCACACAGCUAGCCGUUGCAUUUGAAUUAUUUUAUUUUUCUUUUUAUUCAUUUAAUUUCCUUUUCUUCCAAAAUUAUUUUUAAAUAGCUCCUUUAUUAUUUUUUAGUCCAACUUUUUUCCAUAAUUUCAUAAAUAUAUUUUCUAUCACAAACCAUUUUUGCAUAAUUUUGAAAAUCAUUUUUUCAUUUAAUUAAUAUUUUCUCUUAUUUUUCAUUUCAUUUUAUUUCCACAUUUUUGUUUUAUUCACUUUAAAACAUUUUUCACCCUAAAUUUUGAGGUCAAGCCACCCUAUAUUUUGUUGAACUUAUCCAUUUUUCUUGAAUUUUAUUUUAUGAUUUGAUACCUAUUUUACAUUUUCUCUUUCAUUUUAUUUUAUUAAUCAUUACUUAUUCAUGCUUAAUCUUUUUUGUUUUCUUUUUUAUGAUCACUUGAGGUUAAUUCAACCGUCUUUGAUCCAAAACUGUUGAUAGAUGAUCAUGAAUCAUCUUCAAUACUUUGCAUCAGUGAUAGGUUAGACCUCGAUUUUUGAUAUUUUGAGUCAUUUGAUUUGUGGAUAGAAUGAUCCCUCUGUGUUUGGCUUGAUUCUUCUUUUCACUCUUUCUAUCUUCAUCUCCUCUCUUAUUUUUAAUCAUUGUGUUACAUGUGUUAGGAGAUUAAAUUUGUGUUAAUUCUCUAGUAUGUCUGACCCAUACAUUAUUAUGUUUAUGACUGACCUAAAUAGAUUUAACUUUUCUACAUAAAGCAUAUUAGAUUUCUAACAUAACGCUAAUUGACCCGACACAUUUAAUGACCAUUAACGUCCUACAUUACUUCCGUCUUUACAUUAUGUCCAUUUAAUUCGUUGUCAUUUAAUUCGUCAUUGUUUAUGUGAUUUUAAUUUAUGUCAUAUACUUAAUGGCACUUUAAUGCCAUGGUCCGCCAUUAAUCAUCAAUUUCAUUUCAUACCUACUAAUCUCGCCUUAUAGUCAGUUGUGCAGGUUUUGACUGUGCUAUUGAAUCUUAAUGAAUCAAAACAUCUAUAAAGUACCUUUCGACCUAAUCUUUAACCCUAUGCUUGACUUGGGAGUGUUGAAACCUCUUGGACUUUAGACUUUAGACUUAGGAUUUGGGCCCUUUUCUUAACUCAUAGUACCCUUGCCCAUGCCUUGUAUUCAUUUUAACGUCGUUGUUCUAGUUUCGUGUUAAGGAAACUCUAAGCUGUGUGUUUUGGGAACCCAUCUUAUCGAACGGAAAAUGUGUUUCCCAUAACCAACCUGGACCAUGGAACAUGAAACGCUUCUCUAAAUCUACGAGUUUCCACCAAAUUUCGGUCUGAAAUAGCCAAGUUGAAUUACACGAAUUUAAGAUCUAUUCACACGUAUUUGAAAACUCAAUGGAUUGCCUAUAUAAGCUUUGCCUUCAUUUCUAAGCUUGAAAUCAAAAGAAACUUGAAUACCAUUUAUCCGAUACCUCAAAUAACAGAUCAUUCCUUUUUUGAUUUAAGUUGUUUGCUGUUUCUUUGCCCCAGACCUUCAUCGAUCACCUGCUGAAGCUAACUGAAGAAACUUACUUUGGCUUGAAGCUUUGUGGAACCCUGCAUCCAGAAUCCGCCGCUUGUUGACUUUGAUGCUCCAUCGAAAAGGUGUAGGAUCGGUGACAAACUCAAGCAAAACAGUACGACACUCUCGCCUUGCUCCACUGGAUCAAACCUAUUUUACCUUAGAUGAUCCAGAUUCAUCAUUUAAUUUUUCUUUGAAGAACUGGUUCUUCGAGUUCCUGAGCAAUUCUCUCUACUCAAGAAUCAAUUAUUCUGUGCAGGAAGACAUGAACGAUUGAGAUAUUUUACAACUGAAAUCAAUUGCUGAUCGAUCGUAAAAACAAGAGUUCAUCGAGUUACAAAAUCACAAAUCUGGAGGUUGAAGAUGAAUGCUUCUCUGCGCUUCGUGCAAAAUUCUAACUCUCAUCAGCUGAAUAACUGCGUUGCAUUUGAAUAAUUUUUUUUUCUUUUAUUUUCAUUUAAUUCCUUUUCUCAUAAUAUAUACUCCUUUAUUAUUUUUUAGUCAACUUUUUCUCAUAAUUUCAAUACAAAUGAUUUCUAUCACAAAACCAUUUGCAUAUAAUUUUGAAAUCAUUUUCAUUUAUUAAUAUGUCUCUUAUUUUCAUUUCAUUUUAUUUCCACAUUCUUAUUGAUAUCACGUUGUAACAUUUUUCCGCCUAAAUUUGAGGUCAAGUCACCUAUCGUGUUGUUAACUUCUCCAUUUUUCUGAAUUUUAUUUUUAUGAUGUGUACCUAUUUACAUGUCUGCUUCAUUUAUUUUUUAUUUAAUCAUUACUAUGUCAUGCUUAAAUCUUUGUUGCUUUUUUUAAUGAUCACUUGAGGUUAAUUUCAACGUCUUGAUAUCCAAAACUGAUUGAUAGAUGACAUGAAUCAUCUCAAUCUUUGCUCAGUGAUAGGUAAACCUCGAUUUUGAUAUUUUGCUGAUCAUUGGUUUGUGAGGAUGAAUGAUCCCUCUGUGAUUGGCUGAUUCUCUUUUCACUCUUCUAUCUUCAUCUCCUCCUCUAUUUUUAAGCAUUUGUUACUUGCAAAGUUAGGAGAUAACUUUGUGUGAUAAUUCUCUAGCUAUGGUCUGACCCAUACUAUAUUAUGACUGACACUGAAAUAGAUAUAACUUCUACAUAAGCACUUACGAUUUUAACAAUACGCUAAAUGACCCGCACAAUAAUGGAACCAUUAACUGCCUAACAUUAACUUCCUGUCUUUACAUGAUUUCCAUUUAAUUCUUGUCAUUUAAUUCAAUGUCAUUUAGUUUAUGUUGAUUUAAUUUUAAUGUCAAUAUACUAAUGCACUUUAAUUCAGGUCCAUUAAUCAUCAAUUUCAAUUUCCAUAACCUACUAAUCUCCCUUAUCGUUUGUUGCUCAUAUUUGUUUGACAUGCUCUACUUGCUUAACUUAGGGAAUCAAAAAAUUAUAAAGUAACUUAACCUAAUCUUAACCCUAUGCUUGCUUUGGAGUGUGAAACUCUUUUGGACUUUAGACUUACUUUAGGAUUUAGGCCCUUUUUCUUAACUCAUAGAACUCUUCGGCGCCAUGGACCUUGUAUACAUUUUAACAUCGGUUAUUGUUUCUUGUAUAAGACUUCUAGCUUGUUAUUUGCGGACCACUUAUCAUGCACGGAAAAAGUUGUUUCCCAUACCAACAAUCGACCAUGACAAUGAAACGCACUUAAAAGCUUCAAAAAUCACGGAGUUUUCACAGCUACAAAUUUUCAACACGGAAUCUGAAAUUAUCGCCAAGUUGAUUAACACGAAUUUAGAUCUAGUUUCACCGUAAUUUUGAAAAACCAACGAAGUCCCUAUAUAAGGGAGAAAACGUUUUUGCCUUCACUUUCAAAGCUUUUGAGAAUUUCCAAAGAAAACUCUGAAACCAUUGACUUGCCCGAUACCUCCAAAUACCAGUCAUUCUUUUUUGAUUAGAGUUGUUUGCUUCUGUUUCUAUUGCCCAUAAUCCUUCAUCGACACCCUACUGAGCUAACUGAAGAACCUACUUNAUCUUAACCCUAUCCUUGACUUGGAGUGUUGAAGACCUCUUUUGGACUUUAGACUUUGACUUAGGAUUUAGGCCCUUUUCUUAACUCAUAGUAACCUUCGGUCCAUGGACCUUGUAUACAUUUUAACUCGGUUUUGUUUCUGUUAAGACUCUAAGCUUGUGUUUUGGGACCACUUAUCAUGCACGGAAAAUUGUUUCCCAUAACCCAACACAUCGAACCAUAACAUGAAACGACUUAUAAAGCUCUAAAAUCACGAGUUUCACACCAAAUUUUCACACGGAUUUGAAAUUAGCCAAGUUGAUUUACAAGAAUUUAGAUCUAUUUCACACGUACUUGAAAACCAACACAUUCCCUAUAUAUAGAGGAAACUUUUGCCUUCAUUUUCAAGCUUUGAAAUCCAAAGAAACUCUGAAACCAUUGAUGCCCGAUACCUCAAAUAACCAGUCAUUCUCUUUUUUUAUUUAAGAUGUUUUGCUUCUGUUUCUUUGCCCAUAAUCCUUCAUCGACACCCUCUGAAGCUAACUGAAGAACUACUUUGGCUUGAAGCUUUGUGGAACCUUGCAUCCAGAUCCGCCGUUGUUGACUUUUGAUGCUCCAAUCGAAAAGGUAGAUACGAGUUACAACUUCAAGCAAACAAGUUACGACACUCUUCGCCUUGCUCCACUGAUCAAAAGCCCUCACUUACUUAGAAUUUAUUUCCAGUAUUCAUCAUUUAAUUUUACUUUGAAGAACUAGGGUUCUUCGAGUUCCUGAGCAAAUUCUCUCUACUCAAAGCAAAUCAAUUAUUCUGAUGCAGGGAGACAUGAACGAUGAGAUAUUUUACAACUGAAUCCAUGCUUGAUUCGUGUUAAAAACAAGAGUUCAUGAAGUUACAAAAUCAAAAUCUGGAGGUUGAAGAUGAAGUUGUUUCGCGCGCUUCCAUGCAAAAUACAAAUCUCCUGGCCAAUCAGGACGCGCCACAAAGCUAGCCGUUGCAUUUGAAUUAUUCUAUUUUUCUUUUUAUUCAUUUAAUUUCCUUUUCUUCCAAAAUUAAUAUUAAAUAGCUCCUUUAUUAUUUUUUAGUCCAACUUUUUUCCAUAAUUUCAUAAAAAUAUUUUCUAUCACAAACCAUUUUUGCAUAAUUUUGAAAAUCAUUUUUUCAUUUAAUUAAUAUUUUCUCUUAUUUUUCAUUUCAUUUUAUUUCCACAUUUUUAUUGUAUUCACUUUAAAACAUUUUUCGCCCUAAAUUUUGAGGUCAAGUCACCCUAUAUUUUGUUGAACUUCUCCAUUUUUCUUGAAUUUUAUUUUAUGAUUUGCUACCUAUUUUACAUUUUCUCUUUCAUUUUAUUUUAUUAAUCAUUACUAAUUCAUGCUUAAUCUUUUUUGUUUUCUUUUUUAUGAUCACUUGAGGUUAAUUCAACCGUCUUUGAUCCAAAACUGUUGAUAGAUGAUCAUGAAUCAUCUUCAAUACUUUGCUUCAGUGAUAGGUUAAACCUCGAUUUUUGAUAUUUUGAGUCAUUUGGUUUGUGGAUAGAAUGAUCCCUCUGUGAUUGGCUUGAUUCUUCUUUUCACUCUUUCUAUCUUCAUCUCCUCUCUUAUUUUUAAUCAUUGUGUUACAUGUGUUAGGAGAUUAAAUUUGUGAUAAUUCUCUAGUAUGUCUGAC